UCUACAAAUUUCAAUUAGAGCAAGUUGAUUAUAAUGCUGUUCAGGCAAAUCCCAAGAUCUGCAGUAUGAGUUGGAAAGCUGGAGACCCUGGAGAGUCAAAGGUUUAGUUCCAGUCUGAAGGCCAGGAAGCUCAAGAGUCAGGAGGAUCUGAGGUUUCAGUUCAAGUCCAGAAGCAGGAAAAUUUCUCUUACUUGGGAGAAGAUCUGCCUUUUGUUCUACUCAGGCUUUCAAUUGAUUGCAUGAGACCCACCCACACGAGGGAGGACAAUCUCCUUUCCUCAAUCUACUGGUUUAAAUGGACUCCCUGGGACUACUGGCACCACACUGCACACAUGGAGCAGAAAGGCAGCAAGCACAGAGAGCAGGGGGUCCCAUGGAAAUUAUCUUCCUCACGGUAGCCCUGGCUGAUGACUGACUAACUGAUGGUGCAGGAAUAUGGAAGCCCAGCACCCUUAUU